rnacentral:rRNA from 1 species
AAAUCAGUUAUCGUUUAUUUGAUAGUACCUUACUACUUGGAUAACCGUGGUAAUUCUAGAGCUAAUACAUGCUGAAAACCCUGACUUCGGAAAGGGUGUAUUUAUUAGAUAAAAAACCAAUGCCCUUUGGGCUCUUUGGUGAUUCAUGAUAACUUAACGGAUCGCAUGGCCUUGCGCCGGCGACGGUUCAUUCAAAUUUCUGCCCUAUCAACUUUCGAUGGUAAGGUAUUGGCUUACCAUGGUUUCAACGGGUAACGGGGAAUUAGGGUUCGAUUCCGGAGAGGGAGCCUGAGAAACGGCUACCACAUCCAAGGAAGGCAGCAGGCGCGCAAAUUACCCAAUCCCGACACGGGGAGGUAGUGACAAUAAAUACUGAUACAGGGCUCUUUUGGGUCUUGUAAUCGGAAUGAGUACAAUUUAAACCUCUUAACGAGGAACAAUUGGAGGGCAAGUCUGGUGCCAGCAGCCGCGGUAAUUCCAGCUCCAAUAGCGUAUAUUAAAGUUGUUGCAGUUAAAAAGCUCGUAGUUGAAUCUUGGGCCUGGCUGGCCGGUCCGCCUCACCGCGUGUACUGGUCUGGCCGGGCCUUUCCUUCUGGAGAACCUCAUGCCCUUCAGUGGGUGUGUUGGGGAACCAGGACUUUUACUUUGAAAAAAUUAGAGUGUUCAAAGCAGGCCUUUGCUCGAAUACGUUAGCAUGGAAUAAUAGAAUAGGACGUGCGGUCCUAUUUUGUUGGUUUCUAGGACCGCCGUAAUGAUUAAUAGGGAUAGUCGGGGGCAUCAGUAUUCAAUUGUCAGAGGUGAAAUUCUUGGAUUUAUUGAAGACUAACUACUGCGAAAGCAUUUGCCAAGGAUGUUUUCAUUAAUCAGUGAACGAAAGUUAUGGGAUCGAAGACGAUCAGAUACCGUCGUAGUCUUAACCGUAAACUAUGCCGACUAGGGGAUCGGCGAUGUUUCUAUUCUUGACUCGCC